GCAUAGUGAGACUUAUACUACUCCGACACGCAUACUGUAUUACAACAGCAUCGAAGCAACAGAGCACAAGGUGUGUUCAACGUAAUAUCGAGUACUGACAUUGUACAAGACUCUACUUCCCGUCCAGCAGCUUUCCUGUGACGCAUUGCUCUAUACAAGAUGGAACUGAGCAGACCACAACUCCUUUGCAUCGUGGCUAUCUCACUGCUGCUGUUGAGUACCCAUCUAAGCUACGGUUAUCCUAGCAACGAACAAGACGUUGGUGAUGAGGCUGGCAUGGUGAUGGACGAUAAGCGUGCGGGUAGGCACUUCAAACACAAGCCAGACGGUAUGUGCCCGAACAACUGCCAAGGAUGCUGCACUAUUAAGUGCCUUCUCUCGAAAUGUCGAAAAAUACUGCCGUUCUAGAUACUAUGGCAACGUAACUAGAUAGAAGAUAUAGUGGUUGCUUCUUAAACUUUGGAAUUAUUAUUACUUCAGCGUCAGUGUGUCUAUCUAUCUUCAUCCGAGGCGCAGUCACCCGGGCAACCACAUCACGUUGGCAACCAGUAUAACUGAAAACAGCAUCGCAAUGAGUGACAUUAUUUCUCACAUCGCUUACGUUUAUUUUUUGUCAUCACCUUUUUUGUAUUUAUAUAUUUUGUAUGGUGCCGCUAAACGUAAUGUUCUAGUUAGUACCUCGUUAAUAAUACCUGUAAUUAGUUGGUUGUAAUAAAAUUACGGUGAUACCCGACA